rnacentral:lncRNA from 1 species
GCCUGUGUAUGUUUCUAUCCUAGGUUUUGGUUGAGGGACGGUGUGAAUACAGAGAGGAGCAGGUUGUUGAGGGACGGUGUGAAUACAGAGAGGAGCAGGUUGUUGAGGGACGGUGUGAAUAGAGAGAGGAGCAGGUUGUUGAGGGACGGUGUGAAUAGAGAGAGGAGCAGGUUGUUGAGGGACGGUGUGAAUACAGAGAGGAGCAGGUUGUUGAGGGACGGUGUGAAUACAGAGAGGAGCAGGUUGUUGAGGGACGGUGUGAAUACAGAGAGGAGCAGGUUGUUGAGGGACGGUGUGAAUACAGAGAGGAGCAGGUUGUUGAGGGACGGUGUGAAUAGAGAGAGGAGCAGGUUGUUGAGGGACGGUGUGAAUAGAGAGAGGAGCAGGUUGUUGAGGGACGGUGUGAAUACAGAGAGGAGCAGGUUGUUGAGGGACGGUGUGAAUACAGAGAGGAGCAGGUUGUUGAGGGACGGUGUGAAUACAGAGAGGAGCAGGUUGUUGAGGGACGGUGUGAAUACAGAGAGGAGCAGGUUGUUGAGGGACGGUGUGAAUACAGAGAGGAGCAGGUUGUUGAGGGACGGUGUGAAUAGAGAGAGGAGCAGUUUGUUGAGGGACGGUGUGAAUACAGAGAGGAGCAGGUUGUUGAGGGACGGUGUGAAUAGAGAGAGGAGCAGGUUGUUGAGGGACGGUGUGAAUACAGAGAGGAGCAGGUUGUUGAGGGACGGUGUGAAUAGAGAGAGGAGCAGGUUGUUGAGGGACGGUGUGAAUAGAGAGAGGAGCAGGUUGUUGAGGGACGGUGUGAAUACAGAGAGGAGCAGGUUGUUGAGGGACGGUGUGAAUAGAGAGAGGAGCAGGUUGUUGAGGGACGGUGUGAAUACAGAGAGGAGCAGGUUGUUGAGGGACGGUGUGAAUACAGAGAGGAGCAGGUUGUUGAGGGACGGUGUGAAUACAGAGAGGAGCAGGUUGUUGAGGGACGGUGUGAAUACAGAGAGGAGCAGGUUGUUGAGGGACGGUGUGAAUACAGAGAGGAGCAGGUUGUUGAGGGACGGUGUGAAUACAGAGAGGAGCAGGUUGUUAAAGUAG